GUAUUCUGCAAGAAAGAAAAUGUAAUACACCAAUAUUUAACAAUGUUUAAAAUUAAGCAAGUAGGGAGAUUUAAUUGAGUGAAAAUAACAAACAGUGAACUGAGAAAACCAAAGACACCAAACAAAAUAAAUCAACAUAAGUGGAGAAAUUAGGUCAAAAUUAUGUCACUGAUGCAACAUGACCCUAAAACCACCAAAAGAGGGCAACCCAUUGCACCAAAAGCGUUGACAUUUCAAAUUGCCACAACAAAAUAGCAGCUAAGCUUGACAGAUUCUAGCAAAGGAAUGGAUUCCUCCUUGACCCAAAUCUCAAUAAAAAUAUGAAUCUCAAUUGGGAACACCCCAAGUCAACAUAGGUCUUCAGCUUGCGUACAUAUUUGGGGGCACAAAGUGUGGCACUAAUGCCAAGACAAUCCCAUCAUUACCACCCUUCCUAAGACCAACAUGUGCAACACAUAUACACACAUACACUCCUGUAUUCUCUCUCUUUCACUUUCUCAGAUCUUCUAUUCUCCCACCCCUAUUCUUCCCAUCCUUCUCUCUGCCCCCACAUCCCAGUCCACACUCCACACCCUCCUCCUCAAAGGCCACCACCACCACCACCUCCACAGGCUUGGAACCUCUCAAAAAGUGAGAACUAAAACACACCCAUUCAAACCCUAAAACAGCCACCUUUACCCCAAAUGUAGGCUUGAGGGGGGGAGCAGCAUCCAAGACCAG
rnacentral:lncRNA from 1 species